UCAGUACCCUUAGCAGGAACAUUUCAUCGUUUCCGUAUUUCAUUACUACACGUUAACUUUGAACGUAUUGAAAUGGCAGCAUAAGCCUUCGUCGUGUGCCGGUCGUUACAACGUUACCAGAGUUAAAAUAAGGUUGUACCACACUGAGAUUGUUAAGUUCAAAACCUUCAUAAUAAUUUCAAAGUAAGCAGCGAUUCCUUAUAAACGCACUUUAACAAUUGUCUAUGGAUGAUAACUAUGAUUUGAACGCACAUCCUAACUUUUUUUUUUGACAUUUGUCAUCUGUCAUCUGUCAAAUUAUCAAUCUAUUGACACUGACAGGUCGGCUUUCAUAAUUAUUUGUUAAAUUUGUUUAUUGUUUUAUUGAAUUCAACGCAGUGAUAUUUGCCUACGGAUACCAACGCCAAGGCCCACGGAUGGAGAGGUCGCCAGUGGUGCCUUAAUAAGUGGAAGGAACUAGCCAAGCUCAAUAGCGAAGGGACGGGACAAGGAGUGAUAAGCAAAGGAGAAAAUUAAACAUGAAACAUAACAUUAAACAUUAAACAUAAAAGGUAUGGAGUGAUUAUAUGAAUAAUACAAAGAGAAAAUGCUCCCAAAUUGCCUAAGGGGGCACAGUGAAUGGUUGAUGGUUCAGCCCUAAAAUGGAUAUGUCAGAUUGAAAGCUACCGGUGAAUGCUAUAUAAUUGAUGUGAUGAGAUAUAGAAUCAGCAUGGAACAUGUGCCUGGUACGAGGAGCCAGCCCAAUCCAGCUAUACCAGCGUAUCCUGUACCCAGCAUCACGGACCAGGCCACCGCCUGCAAGUGCACCCCCGUGAAGGCAUAAAUUAUAAGUGUGCAUUUUGAUUGCUCGGUGAAGAAUACAUUUAGGAGAAAAGAUAAAUCAUACAUUUUGUUAUACUAUGCUGAUGUUUGCAAAUGUUACAUGAUACUACCUACUAAGAUAAAUAUGUUUUUUUGUAAAAUAAAGAAUAAAAAACUGUUAAACAGAA